CGAAAGCCUGACGGAGCAACGCCGCGUGUGGGAAGAAGGCUCUUGGGCUGUCAACCACUUUUCUCAGGGAAGAAGUCCUGACGGUACCUGAGGAAUCAGCCUCGGCUAACUCCGUGCCAGCAGCCGCGGUAAUACGGAGGAGGCAAGCGUUAUCCGGAAUUAUUGGGCGUAAAGCGUCCGCAGGUGGCUAGUCAAGUCUGCUGUCAAAGACCAGGGCUUAACCCUGGGCCGGCAGUGGAAACUGGUUAGCUGGAGUACGGUAGGGGUAGAGGGAAUUCCCGGUGUAGCGGUGAAAUGCGUAGAGAUCGGGAAGAACAUCGGUGGCGAAAGCGCUCUACUGGACGGCAACUGACACUCAGGGACGAAAGCUAGGGGAGCG
rnacentral:rRNA from 1 species